AGAGUUUGAUCCUGGCUCAGAUUGAACGCUGGCGGCAUGCCUUACACAUGCAAGUCGAACGGCAGCACGGGGGCAACCCUGGUGGCGAGUGGCGAACGGGUGAGUAAUAUAUCGGAACAUGUCCUGUAGCGGGGGAUAACCUAUCGAAAGAUGGACUAAUACCGCAUACGAUCUAUGGAUGAAAGCGGAGGACCGCAAGGCUUCGCACUAUAGGAGUGGCCGAUAUCGGAUUAGCUAGUUGGCGGGGUAAAAGCCCACCAAGGCGACGAUCCGUAGCUGGUCUGAGAGGAUGAUCAGCCACACUGGAACUGAGACACGGUCCAGACUCCUACGGGAGGCAGCAGUGGGGAAUUUUGGACAAUGGGCGCAAGCCUGAUCCAGCCAUGCCGCGUGAGUGAAGAAGGCCUUCGGGUUGUAAAGCUCUUUCGGCAGGAACGAAAUGGUUCGUGCUAAUACCACGGACUGAUGACGGUACCUGAAGAAGAAGCACCGGCUAACUACGUGCCAGCAGCCGCGGUAAUACGUAGGGUGCAGGCGUUAAUCGGAAUUACUGGGCGUAAAGCGUGCGCAGGCGGUUUCUUAAGUCAGAUGUGAAAGCCCCGGGCUUAACCUGGGAACUGCGUUUGAAACUGGGAGACUCGAGUGUAGCAGAGGGGGGUGGAAUUCCACGUAGCAGUGAAAUGCGUAGAUAUGUGGAGGAACACCGAUGGCGAAGGCAGCCCCCUGGGUUAACACUGACGCUCAUGCACGAAAGCGUGGGGAGCAAACAGGAUUAGAUACCCUAGUAGUCC
rnacentral:rRNA from 1 species